rnacentral:snRNA from 1 species
AGAUGCAGGGGUGACCUGGCUGUGACAUCUGCCACCCCAUGGAUUGCCAGAGUGAUUCAGCUUACCUGGAUGGCUAAGUGGGGGUCCCCUUUCUCCUUCAGGACUCCAUGUCUGUCCCUCCCAAAGCUGCAUGCUCAGUGGAAGGGGACAACCAUCCCAGAUAGAAGGAAGGCGUAUGAUAGCUGCCCUCCUCUGCUCUAACCUCCAAACCAGUACAAGGCUAGAUCGGAAUGGUGAAAAAUAUUUCACUUCGUUUGACUGCAAUAAAAAGUAUUAUUCCUU